UACGUAGGCAGCAAGCGUUGUUCGGAAUUACUGGGCGUAAAGAGUGUGUAGGCGGUGCUCUAAGUUCGGUGUGAAAUCUCCCGGCUCAACUGGGAGGGUGCGCCGAAAAACUGGGGGUGCUGGAGCGCGGGAGAGGAAAGCGGAAUUCCUGGUGUAGCGGUGAAAUGCGCAGAUAUCAGGAAGGAACACCAGUGGCGAAAGCAG
rnacentral:rRNA from 1 species